rnacentral:rRNA from 1 species
AUACGUAGGGUGCGAGCGUUAAUCGGAAUUACUGGGCGUAAAGCGUGCGCAGGUGGUUUUGUAAGUCAGAUGUGAAAUCCCCGGGCUUAACCUGGGAACUGCGUUUGAAACUGCAAGGCUAGAGUGUGUCAGAGGGGGGUGGAAUUCCGCGUGUAGCAGUGAAAUGCGUAGAUAUGUGGAGGAACACCGAUGGCGAAGGCAGCCCCCUGGGUCAGCACUGACGCUCAGGCACGAAAGCAUGGGGAGCAAACAGGAUUAGAAACCCCGGUAGUCC